AACGAACGCUGGCGGCGUGGAUAAGACAUGCAAGUCGAACGGAGAUUCUUUAGAGCUUGCUUUAAAGGGUCUUAGUGGCGAACGGGUGAGUAACACGUGAGUUACCUGCCCCGAAGUGGGAGAUAGCCCGGAGAAAUUCGGAUUAAUACCCCAUGUGAUCGAAAGAUUAAAGGCGGCGCAAGCUGUCGCUUCGGGAUGGGCUCGCGGCCUAUCAGCUAGUUGGCGGGGUAACGGCCCACCAAGGCGAUGACGGGUAGCUGAUCUGAGAGGAUGAUCAGUCACACUGGAACUGAGACACGGUCCAGACACCUACGGGUGGCAGCAGUCGAGAAUCAUUCGCAAUGGGCGAAAGCCUGACGGUGCGACGCCGCGUGGAGGAUGAAGGCCCUAGGGUCGUAAACUCCUGUCAUCAGGGAGUAAAGACUCGUGUGGUAACUAACACGGGUCCUGAUAGUACCUGAAGAGGAAGGGACGGCAAACUUCGUGCCAGCAGCCGCCGUAA
rnacentral:rRNA from 1 species